rnacentral:rRNA from 1 species
UAGGGAAUCUUCCACAAUGGACGCAAGUCUGAUGGAGCAACGCCGCGUGAGUGAAGAAGGUUUUCGGACCGUAAAGCUCUGUUGUUGGUGAAGAAGGAUAGAGGUAGUAACUGGCCUUUAUUUGACGGUAAUCAACCAGAAAGUCACGGCUAACUACGUGCCAGCAGCCGCGGUAAUACGUAGGUGGCAAGCGUUGUCCGGAUUUAUUGGGCGUAAAGCGAGCGCAGGCGGAAGAAUAAGUCUGAUGUGAAAGCCCUCGGCUUAACCGAGGAAUUGCAUCGGAAACUGUUUUCUUGAGUGCAGAAGAGGAGAGUAGAACUCCAUGUGUAGCGGUGGAAUGCGUAGAUAUAUGGAAGAAUACCAGUGGCGAAGGCGGCUCUCUGGUCUGCAACUGACGCUGAGGCUCGAAAGCAUGGGUAGCGAACAGGAUUAGAUACCCUGGUAGUCCAUGCCGUAAACGAUGAGUGCUAAGUGUUGGGAGGCUUCCGCCUCUCAGUGCUGCAGCUAACGCAUUAAGCACUCCGCCUGGGGGAGUACGACCGCAGUUGAAAC